CUAGAGGACCUCGCCUUCUUGGUGCUCCUUGCUUACAAGAAGGUACUCCUAGGGAAUUGGUCCUCCAAGUAUGGGUAUUUUGAUCCCUUGAUAUCUGUGAUGGGCGAAGGGAGAGUAAGGAGGGGGUGAGGGAUGGCCUUGGAGGUUAACAUAUAUAGGUAGGUCAUGCGGGGGAAGGCCAUACAUAUUUCCAGUUUUAUCAUAUAUACUUAUGCAUGUUGCAGAUAUCUUUCCUUUGUUCAUCAAACACACCUCAAAAUAAAUUAGAAAAGAUGUCAGAAAUCAGAACUUACUAAAAAAUAAAUUGUUGUAUUAAUUAAAUAAACAACUUAUCUGGCAGGAAAGUUACUGAUUGCAUGCCAUAUAUAAACAAAAUAUCUUAUUUGUCUAUUUAAAUAUUGAUCCUAUUUUUAUUAAUGUUCAUUAAUGAAUAGGUAAACAUGAACUUUCUAUUUAUAUAAUGUGUAUUUAAUCAUUUCAAUGUGUACUAUAAAUCAAGUUAAACUAACAAACAAACAACCUUCUGUUUUUGUUGUAUACAAAAUCAAAACACAGAUGCACCUAAUGCAUCAUCGACCUAUUGCAACGUCAACAUCGACUGGGUACGAGUGGCCAUAGGUCACAAGGGGGCGUGGAGCUGCUGCAGACCAUCUGUGACAGAGCAUAAUCCAGCUACUUUGCCCAGGUCGGUACAUCUUCCACACGACUACAUGGUAGCAACUUGAAGAAAAAUCUUCCUUUUUUGCUUCCAUGACCUGAUAUCCUCCUCGAUGAUGUAUCGUGGUGCCGUGACCCGGCCUAAAAGGCAGGGCCUGGGCGAAGACAUAUCCCCGACAGCCAAGACAAGGCCACAGUGGUGAAGACUGUGGUGAGAAAGAGCAGACUCCAGCGAAUUUGACCAGCCAGGUACAUCCUCUACACGACUAAACGGUAGCAACUUGAAAAAAAAUUGACUUGUUUAGUAUCUGCCAGAAAAAUAGGAGGAACACAAAAUUCUAUGUAAAUCAGCUAACAAAUAUUGAGAUUACUCUUUUUCAUAUAACACCAAUUAGAUGCAUAUUGAUUUUUUUUCAUCCUAUGAAUCAUUCGUUAGUGCCUCUUUUAUUUUAAUUUUACUUACCCCAUAUGUCUAUUCUAUUUAGUUAAAGUUCAUACAUAGAACACAUCAUAAUUUGAAUUAUAUUAUAUUAGAAGAAGAUGUGACUCCCUUAGGGUAACUUAAUAAUAAUUUACUUCCUCACCAACUAAAAUAAAAAAAUGUUGGUAACGAAUAAUAAUUGUCGGAACAUCCUGGGACACACUUGUUAUUUAUGUAGUCAAUAAGAAAACACUUUGGCGGGGACUAAUUUUGGCUACUAUAUUCAGGAACACAUACAAGAUAAUCAAUGCUUUAUCAGAAACAUAUUGAGCAUGACAGAUAAAUGUGGAUCCUAUGUGAACUUGAAGAUUGGUGACAAUUGAAGGUAUGUGCCUUAUGACCAUUCGAUUGCUGGCUUGAAAGUAUACAUCGUAUCGUAUAACAGUGCGUGUAUGGAUGAAGUUAUACGAUACGAGAUUAGCUAUAGCAAAGUAAUAUUAACGACUUGCACAACAACGACGAAAUAUUAAUGAAUCUAUUUGUUCACUUAAAUAAUUCACUAAAGAAACUGAUCAGGAAAGCGCUACGCGCUAAUCAUGCAUUUGCCCAGCAAUUAUUUAGAUAUCUUCAUCACAAGCGUUAGGAUUUAUUUCUUUGGUGUGACAAAAUAGCCUAGAUGGUCUGCCCUGUCCCACUUAACACACAGGAACAUAUUGUGGUUCUCCUUUUUAAGAUCGAUAUGUGCAUAGUCUACUCAUGCCACCUCUCCCCCUCGUCCUCUAUCCUUGAUGCAUCAUGGCGCCUCUCUCCCUCAUCCUCUCUUGAUUGCAACACUGAUUGGUAACCGGAAUGUGAGGCUCUAUUAGCUUGAGAAGCUAGACCCCUCGCCGGAAUAAGUUGCUUUGUCGUCGGAGCGGUUGAAUCCUCGUAGGGUAGAAGAUAUGAAAUGUGGCUCAAUGAUCAUUGACGUCAGACAAACAAAAAUUACCAAAACAACAAAUAUAACAGCAAAACCAACUUGUAGUAGUACCAAAACUCCAAAUAGUUCUUAAUAUUGUAAACCCAAAAACAAAAAUUAUAGUUUCCAUCCAUAACAUAACAUGACAAGAUGAUUGAAGUAUUCCUGACGGUUCUCGUUGCAUAGAAGCAUACUUAGUUGUUCAAAACCCUCAAGGCCGCCGUAAUCUCAUGAGGGAUGUUUCCAGCAGCUAGAUUGUCUUUGACCAUGAGCAUCUGGACUACCACUUGGCUCCUGAGCAUAAUUGGAUCCUAGAAACAAUGAAACAAAUUCACCAUGAAACGCCGAAGUGGUUGGAUUAUAAAUGGCACAUUAAAACUCGUCGUAAAGAUAAUUACUGUAGUUUCCAUCCAGGUCAUGCUACGCAAAGAACCUAGCUGGCGGGCCAUCUCUUGUAGAACUAAGAAACCCAAGUCUUUGCUGUGACAAACAGAAUAAAAAUUUGAGAUUUCUACAUACUGCAUCUUAUUCAUCUGAAAAAUUUAUUAAAGUACCGCCAAAAAUUGAAUGACAUGUUGUCUUGUCGCCAAUCCAUGAGUUCAGUGUUCCAUCCAAGGACCCUAGCCUGCAACACUUCAUUGAGUUCUUGCUUCAAAAUAGUGAUCUCCUUCAUCAUCUCUUUGUUGUUAGUGCUAUUUCCCACUUGUCGUACGUCUAGUGAUGGAUUAAAUACGAUAACCCUUCUCCUCAUCCGAUUGACCACAAGUAGACCAUACGACGAAUCCGGGAUAGACAACGGAAGUAGAUACUACAGAAGGUCAACACAGGUUAAUUGCAAUCAGGAAAGAAAAAAUAAGUUAGGAAUUAAAGACUCUUACAAUUGUGGAGUUGAACACAUCAUAUCUAGGAAAGGGCUGUAGAAUAGCAUUGUUGAUCAGCGUCGAGGUGCGCUGCCCUUGCGGCAUCCAUGAAUUCCUUAGAGCUCGUGAUUGAGCAUGAAACUGCAAGUCAAAAUAAUGUUUUCCUCCAACCAUGUUGGUGCCUGCAUGCCUCUCUACUUCAGCGCUCGCAAGCUUACGAACAGUGAGAUUGAAGCAAUCGGGAUGUAGGCUUGCUGACAUCACAAAUAGUGUGUCCUUCAGCAUUCUGAGGCUGAUUUCGAUCCGGUACGGUGUAUCGCUUCUUAUCCAGAUUGAGCUGCACGUAAAAAUACAUAUAAAUGGUUAGCACUAUGAGUGGUUCUUUAAAAUAUAAAUUGUUCAUAUGGUAACAUUGUCUAGAUAAUCUAAUAGCUAUGAACAGAACUAAUAUUUUGAUAAACUAUAGAGCAUGCAAAUUUUUUCAGCACCUUCUAGCAAAAGCUAAAAUUAGAUAAUGAUUUCUCUGUAAGAACAAUAUUAAUUUGUUAGAAAUUAAGAGCAGGAAAAUUUAGGUAGCACCCAUUAUACCAAGUUUGCUGGCUGUUGAAAAACAAUAUUUAAUUGUUGCACAAUAUAGUAAGGACAUUAAUUUUAUCAACAUUUGUACUGCAAAUAAUAUUAGAAUUUUGUUAUUCAUUACAUACGGUAUAUGUGCAACAGAAAUACUGCCAAAACAUUAAACAAAAAUAAUUUCCCUGUAAGAACAAUAUUAAUUUGUUAGGAAUUAAUAGCAGGAAAAUUUAGGUAGCACCCUUUAUACCAAGUUUGCUGGCUGUUGAAAAAAAAAUUAUAUUGUUGUACAAUAUAGUAAGGACAUUAAGUUUAUCAACAUUUGUACUGCAAAUAAUAUUAAAAUUUUGUUAUUCAUUACAUACGGUAGAUGUGCAACGGAAAAACUGCCUAAACAUUUAACAAAAAUAAUUUUGUACUGCUGGCCGCAAAAAGUAAGAUUUAAUCAAAAGGAAAACAAAUAAAGCUAUAUCAUACUCCUAUAUCAAACAGAGUCUACUUUGUACGACCUAGUUCUAAUGAGAUAUCUUUAGAGAAAAUAAACAUAUAAGAGCAUAACUUACUCUAGUGUCUGCUCAUCAUGAACGCCGUUCAUAAAACCGAAUAUAUAUUCGAGUGCAUCUUCCACGAAAUGCCUUGGUGGGGGCAGAAGAUGCAGGGGUGCGGGCAAAUCCUCUUGGGGGUCGGCCACAGCAUCGUGGAGCUGGAGGUCAGCCUCAUUGGGGUCGGGGGCAGCGGCAUCCUGGGUCGCCGGCGCAUUGUUUCCAAUGAUAGGAUCCAUCGCUGUUCGAUAGGCGUGAGUGAUCGUUCGCUGAGGCGUCUUGGCAAUUAGGAUGUCGAUGCAGCAUAUAUUUGGCAGCUAGAUUUAUUGCCUCCAACUGCUUUUUAUUGCCUGCCGAAAAAAUCGGCGAUGGGAGUAUAAACGGAUAUAUUUUGAAUGCUAUUUAUUGCCUGCCAAAUAUAUCAAAUCGUUAUUAAUGCUUUUUAUUGCCUGCCAAAUAUAUCAAGUCGUUUUAAGACGUAGAUGAUUCUUUCUAAUUAUAAAAAAUCAUGACAGGGGCAUAUCAGAUCUUUCUCCUUUUUUAUAGUUGAAUAUUUUGUUCCUAAGGAUUGCCGUAUUUACAGUUCAAUAUCAAUGAAUCGAAAAAAACAACCUUUUGUAUAAAUCCAGAUAUCCCGAAUUAAGCACGCGUACAAAAAAUACAUACUGCCAUAAUGGCUACACGUAGAGUUGACAAGCAAAAAGAAAACACACUUUAACAGAAAUGUUUGUUCUGUGUGAAUACAUUAUUACUCCAAAUGUAGAUAAAAGGACCGAGGGAAAUGAGCUAUCUAAUGAGCCGUCUUGAAAAAUAAACUCAUCUACUGUCCAUUUUUCCUGGCUACAACUGCAGCAUUGACGUAUGAUAGUGUUUCGUCAAAUGUCGUUAAGCAGGCUUCAUGGAUAUCUAUGAAAAAACAAUUAAUUAGUACUAAUAUCAUCGUAAUAAAAAAAUGAACAAAAAGCCAUAGAAAUCAAAAUAGUUUAUAGAUCUUACGUUGAAGAUGAUGAAAAUCAUCGUCUAUGUCGGGGGAGAACAAGAAUGUGCUCUCCCUCAUAGUCUCGAGGCACUUAUCCCUCCGGUUUAGCUGUAUGUACGUAACUGCAAUUUUCUCGAAUAAAUUUUCAGUGCACUGCAAGUGUUUCAAGUGACGACCAGCAUGCUCUUGACUUAGGCGUAUAAAAAGUAUCUCCCAGCUGGAAUGAUUAAGAUAUGUUGAUGGUAGUCAACUAUCAAAUAACAAUAAUCAUAUAAAAUCUCAAUUACUGAUAGGAGUUUACCAAAAAUUCUGAUGCCUAUCUCAACAAAAUGGACCUGCCGUCUAUAUAAUGAAUCCCACCUAUGUUGUAUCCUACCAGCAUAGACAAGAAUACCAAGAACAUCUGGAAAAAAUUAAGUCUGGGUGAGACAAAAUGUUGAAUGGAUAAAUAUACAAAAACAAACUAAAAGAUGUUGCACCGGUAAUGGUUUUGUCUCAUAGCAAGGGUAUGGCACCAAAUUGUCGGAAAAAAGAUGGACAGAUUGUCGAUGCAAUACUGUGCAUCGAUGUCCUAACCAUGGUCAUAGCAUUUAGUUCAAUGACGAACUCCAUGCAUAGAUACCAGAAGUGACCAUCUAGCAUUUCCGUGGGGUUUAUCCCAACGCUAGUGAAGUGAUAUGUUAGCCCGGUAUGCAGAUUGUCGUUGAAUCAAUAAGAUUGGUUGUUGAAGGCAAUUGCUUCAAUCUUUGUUCCCUAUAUAUUUUUAAUAAUUCAGAUAACAAGAAUUUAGAACACAUGUGUAUAUACAUUAAAAAAGGUUGAUAUAUUUAGUGAUCACUAAUCUCAUACUUCCUGGUCCAUAAGUAUGCAACGAAAGUAUGGGUUUCCCAUUGCAUGCACCCUGAUAUGGGACUUCCACAUCACCUUAGCUUGAAUGAUCCAACAUCUGUGAUAGAUAUGUUCCAUCUGUACACUUUGAAAAUUCAGGUACCUACAUAAAGUAAUACAAAAUGAUGAGAUAAAGAAACGGUGAUGUCAGAUAAGAGUGCACGUAGAUCUAUACACUUUCUUGUUCAUCGGAGGGAUGAUGGGAUCCGGUGGAUUCGCCAUCACCCUCCUCGAGGGCCUCGAGCUGUACGAUAUCACCAUGGUCAGGGAGCUAAUGGAUGAAGUGUUAAAGAAUGAUAGAGGGGCGCACGGGCAUAUAUAGUCCAAGGGGCCCAUAGGCGGGAAAAUCAACAUUCUUUCAAUUUUUGCAUGUGGCCGUAUAGCGAAAAAAACACUCCAAUAUCGAAAUGAUUAUAAAUAGUAGGUUAUGAGAGUUCUUUGGCAACAAUAUAUUUAUUGCUAAAACUUUUUGAAUCAAUUAAUUAUUUAUAGAUAUUUGAGAUUCUAAAUCUGAUAAAAAUCAUGUCAAUUAUCUCACCGGUAUCAUUGAUUCCUUUUCGCCUGUUAAUACGCUAUAUCUCUACUCCAUAUGAGGAUAUAGGAUCUUUAGUUAGAAACGCAAUAAUUGGAUAUAUAUCUAAAUAAUUAAGGUGAUAGUGCGUUAAGGUAAGUGUAUUCACGCAAUAAAUAUAUUACCAUUAAUUACAAACAUGUAAUCAAUUAAAAUAUCGAUUAUUUACUCAGUUUUUAUUUAGCUAUAUUCACGCAAUUAAUAUUAUUACCAUGUAUUCACUAAUAUUUCGUCGAUUAAAAAUAUUACCAUUAAUUACAAACAUGUAAUCAAUUAAAAAAUAUAUUAUUUACUCAGUUUUAGUACAUGUGAUGAGACUUCGUUGUGUUACUUUGCAACUACUAUUUUAUGGGCGUUUUAGAAUAGUGACAAUUUCGAUGGUAGCGUGUAUUCAUAUAAGAAUAAGAUAAAUAUCUGUUCUUUAUGAAAGUUUGCAUCAGCUUGUUGCUCUCCGUGUAUUCAUAUAAGAAAAAGUAAAAUAUAACAUGUUAAGCGACAAAACUCAAAGGGAAGAUCAAAAACAGACAGUAAGAAACCAAGCAUGAAAUAAUAUAUGUUCGUUAUUCAUACUUUCAUAGUUUGACUCCAAAUCGAUUACAAUGCAAAAUGCUCUUAAGGAGCGUUGAAACAUAAAACAUAAAAAGCUGUAAAGAAUAUUGUAUAAUUCCUUAUGAUUGCUCUUUUCAAGGCAUUUCCGUCUUUUUGUCACAUGCUUGCAUGUGCUUCACAACCAUAUAUUCCAACUGAUCGAUCUUCUUUAUGAGAGUUUGCAUGAGCUUGUUGCUCUCCUUGGUUGCCUGCAGAAUUUGAUCAUUUGUAGUAGCCAAACCGUCCCCAAACCUUCUUUCCUAUCGUCUUUCCUUAUGGGAUAACUAAUACUAAUAGGCAGGUUAAUAGGCUCGACGUGAUUAUGCAUCCUAAGACAUUUUGACUUUGGCGUGUUACCCUGAGCAAAGGGACGCAUCGGCGUAGUGCUGUCAUCAUCUUCUAGUACACCAAGAUCUUCCUGCCAACGAAUAUCCUCAACAGCAUCAUCGCUGAAGCGAAUUGAACUGUUGGAUGACGCCAUGUGAGAGGAGGAUGGAGUGUUAAGAAAUAGUAUGACUUGUUCAAGAGAGGUCUGGUAAGGUCGCUCGAACGGUUGAUCAAUAUAUAAGCGUUUAUAGGAAGCUCUGAUUAGGAAAUCGGUAAUCAAAUCCACCGAUUUGGUCACGAUCAAAUAUUAAUUAAUAGGAUCAAUUUUGCGAUUCGGUGAGUAAAACCUACUAUAUGAUUAGAAGACAAAAAAGAUAUCAUGUCUUAAGAUUUCAUUCCUGAUAAACCGAAUAGGAAUUUUUUUUAUAGAGGAAGCAAAUAAGAUAGUUAACAUGCACGUAUUGUUUUAGUGACAUGAUAUCAGAGAUUCGCGAAAUAUCUGCCUAUAAUUUCAUAAUUAAUUAUAAUUUUACACACCAGAAGAUUCUGUUAUUAAAUAGCUGUUUGUAUGGACAAAACGUUUGUUAGUUUUAGAAUAUCUUCUUUUACAUUUUUAGUACAACGUUGUCUUGUUUCAGUAUGUUAUUUUCAGCGUACAUAACAAAAAAUACAUUAUGAAGGCGGAAAUAUUUCAACGGAAAAUUAAUUAACGUAGCACACACGGUAGAGUAUGUUUCCAACAUUCCGGAUGGGGUUAUUUGAAAUACUAAUAAAACAACGACGUGAAUUUUGUAUAGUUAAACUCUGGAAGGAAAUUGCAAAGAGAUGAAACAGAUGAGGGUUGUGUUUCCUUAGUUUGUAGAUUCAUUAUUUAAAGAGACUAAACAUAUAUUAUAUCUUCAAAGAUCUCACAACUCUCUACACAGUAGAAGCUGGAAAAGUAGCAUUAGGUAUCAACAUCAUAUGUCCCAACCAACUCAUCUGCAACCACUUCAUGACAUGAAAUCACAAUUGGGAUAUAGACUAACAUGUAUAGCAAGAUUUUUAGGUUAAUAUAUACCUGGAGUUACAUCCGUCGAUGUGAUUUUUUCUGCUGCUUUGCUUUGUGGAUUCCCCAUACGUACCUGUAAGCACAGAUUUUGUAAUCUUAACGAUAGCUUGUGUACUAAAUCUAUGAAAUGCUUUUUGCCAAGUUUAUUCUUGUUUUCUUCCUAAUAUGUAGAUAUUUCAAUUAAAUUCUGGUUUGCGAUCCAACUUGUUGCAAAAAAAAUGCUUUCCAUUAUGCCAUUAAAACAUAUACCUGCAUUAGGUAUCAUCAUUUGAGUAGUUGAUCGUUCUGUGGCAAAAAAAAAUGAUCUGCUCGUCUACUUUAGUGAUCAUAGGUCAGAAUAUCAAAUAUGCCACUUCGAUUAAUUGCCACUUUAUACAGGCAAAACAAUAGCUUCCUAGAGUACGUUAUGUUCCUUUCAGAUUAAUUGCCACAAUUGUAGAGCUGAAGGUGACAGUGUGAGGACAGUACUCAUGUAGAAGACAUUGUUCUCUAUGUAUUUGCAUAUAUAAACUGAUUGGUUCUCUAUGCAUUUGUUCUUUCUAUUCUAUUUCAAAAAGAACAAUAUAGCCAAACAUUUUAUUUUGACAAACAUUGCACAUAUUUCUCAAUCCAAAACUUGAUGCAUCAUAAUGGUCUGUGUCCUAACCGGCAUCUACGCAUUAAAUCUUAAAAAAACAGCAAAAUCAGAAGGAAAACAAUUAGUUAACGGUAUGCUAAGAUGAUACACUCACUCUUAUCUAUUGUAUGUAGUGCUUGCAUAAUCAGUCAUGUGCAUGCAUGCUACUUUAAAUGCGUUUCAGUUAAUUCUGGUGAGAUGAUCUACUGUGGGCCGCCAACUUCUUAUGGGAGGGGGUGUUGUUUGACAAAAUUAGUUAAUGCUGGUGAGAUGAGGUGCAAAUGCAGAAUGAUGUGGAAGAUAAAUUCUGGUGUUACAGUCACAUCUAAUUGUAUAUAUAGGCUUGAUAUUUUUUGACGCAUUCAAAUGUACUUUCAAGGAGCAGUGAGACCCAUUUGAAGCUGGUCAAUGUACUUUCAGGGAGCAGUGAGACAUUUGAAGGUACAGUUUAUGAAUGAUGAGUUUUAUGACAAACUGUUCAGAAAGCUCGAGCAAUUUGCAGGCGAUUUACCAUAUUUUUAAUUUGUUACACAGUUUUUUGGCACACAAGAAAGCUGGGUAGAUGUCGCGGCUGGGGUGUUCUCUUCUCCCUGCGGUGUUAGGCUCUGUUACGGAUGAGUCGAGAACGCCCCACAGCCUCCACUGCACCUCCAUUGGAGCUGUCGAGAGCAUCUCAGGUACGCUCUAUGCAGUUGUGUGUACAUGUUUUUUUACUGUUGAGUGCACAUCAGAUUUUCGUAUGUUUGCUUGUAGUGCUCUUCUAUGUGGAAUGGAUACUUCUCUCAUCCUGUUACAGAUGUAGAAUAAGAAAUAGAUUGUUAUCCAUACCUAUGCAUAUAUGCUAGAUCAGAUGUAUUUUUGGGGGUGCUAAAUCAUACAGUCCCAGUUUUUUGCACCAACUAUGCUAUUAAACUCGAUUGGUGAUUACUGAAUGGUUCCAAUUUGAUAGGAGUAUACUUUAAUGAUGAAUGAAACCAUUGUAAUGUAAAAAGGAACUGGAUUGCUUUUUUUGACUUGAGUUCCCAUGCAAAGUCUAAAUUGAUCAGGGGUAAAACAAACUUGAUUAUCCAACUAAAACUCUUCUGCUGUCUAGAUACCGAAGAAAUAAAUCAAUGCCAUGCAGAUCAUGCAUCCCGUCUGGGUGUCCAAGAGCGAAAGUCGGAUGUCAAUGCAUUCAAUGUAUUUGAAACAAUGGAUGUAAGACAGAAUCAAUUAGUGGAUAUUUCAACAAUGGAUGUAAGACAGAACCAAUGCGCGGAUCUGUUGAAAGUAUGUACUGUAAGCACAACUG
rnacentral:lncRNA from 1 species